CGAAUGUUAAUUGUGCACACAUGUUUCUGUGCCGUUUAGCCUGUUUUCACUGAACUUGCAUCACUUCCAUGAAGCUCCGCCUACUCGCAACCGAGUUUCCGCCUACCUGUCAAUCCACGCGCCGCUGUCAUUUUCACCUUUGAAUUUUUCUUAUUCUCCUCGCUAUCUGCUUGUCCCUUUCCCUUCUCCUUGCCCUGUUCAAGCAGAAGCAACCCCUCCAUGGCGAUUUCCAUUCCGAUCUCCCCCUCGCCGCGUGAUUGAAGAUUUGGUCGGCCGUCGUCUCGCGUUCUUUGGAGAAGUAAGACAAUUAUUGGCCGUACAUUAAGGAAUGCAUCUUCUUCAUCUUGUAGGUUUCUGAAGGUCUACUGGGAGAGUAAUGCUAGAGAGGGACGCUCACCUAUACAGUGGACAAAGACAAGCAGAUUUACAGCGGACAAGGACGUGCAACUGUCAUAUUUCAAUUGGUUGGAAAAUCUGAUUGAAAACCAAUUAGUUUUCAAUCGGAUGUCAGGUAAACAGUCCCAAAAAAUGAGAUCGAUACAUGCGGUUUCUUUUCUGCAAACCUCUUAAUCAUGACAUCAGCGUCAGCGGCCAUGGUAAUCUGCAAGACCUCCUCAACGGUGGUCGUCCACACAGGCGAGCACCUAUUUAAGGUCGUCGGCCACUCCCUGGUCCAAGUAAGGAGUGGGCUCACCUCUGGGACCUUCCGCGUUGGCGGCUACGAUUGGGCUAUCCUCUGCGAUUGUACCGUGUUAAAAAAACAUACAACACAACAGUGUUAGCGAUUGCAGCACAAAUCGAACAAUAAGCUGUUCUGAAGCACGCUUAUGAUGACACGGUCUACGGUUGUGUGGGUGACCGUGAACUAGGUCUAGGAGCCUCCUGUUUAUCAAACCGUUAUGCAGGUGUUUUCUUUUUUCCUUGUGCGAAAUCUGGCGGCAUGCUUAUGAUGACACGGUCGAAAGUAAUACUCCUGUUUAUCAAACAGGUUCACUGAGUACUACAUACAAUCUGAUCGAGAGUGCCUCAGAAAUCAAUGCCAACGUUCAAUCUGAAGCUUAUCAAGGAGGAGGCUAAAAUUUGGGUCUUCGCAUGAGCAAAACACUUGAGUAAUAUGAUGCCGGGAGGGAGUGAUUAUUUUUUUCCCCUUUGUAUGUUUGAAGUCUUUGUGCUCGUCUGUUGAGCAAUAAGUCUGUAAACCCUCUUUCUUAAUUAACAAAUGAGGCAAAACAUUUGCCUCGAUUUCAGAAAAA